rnacentral:rRNA from 1 species
UAGCCCAACGAGAUCGGGAUAACACCUGGAAACAGAUGCUAAUACCGGAUAACAACAGAUGAUGCCUAUCAACUGUUUAAAAGAUGGUUCUGCUAUCACUCUUGGAUGGACCUGCGGUGCAUUAGCUAGUUGGUAGGGUAACGGCCUACCAAGGCGAUGAUGCAUAGCCGAGUUGAGAGACUGAUCGGCCACAUUGGGACUGAGACACGGCCCAAACUCCUACGGGAGGCAGCAGCA